GACGAAGGAUGCAAGCGUUAUCCGGAUUCAUUGGGUUUAAAGGGAGCGUAGGUGGCCAAAUAAGUCAGUGGUGAAAUCCUGUUGCUUAACAACAGAAUUGCCAUUGAUACUGUAUGACUUGAGUAUAGUUGCCGUUGGCGGAAUAUGACAUGUAGUGGUGAAAUACAUAGAGAUGUCAUAGAACACCGAUUGCGAAGGCAGCUGACGAAACUAUAACUGACACUGAGGCUCGAAAGUGCGGGGAUCAAACAGG
rnacentral:rRNA from 1 species